AGCAGCCGCGGUAAUUCCAGCUCCAAUAGCGUAUAUUAAAGUUGUUGCAGUUAAAAAGCUCGUAGUUGAAUUUCGGGGUCAGUAGAUUGGUCGUGCCACUGGUAUGUACUGGUCUUACUGGCUCCUCCUUCCUGAUGAACCGUAAUGCCAUUAAUUUGGUGUUGCGGGGAGACUGGACUGUUACUUUGAAAAAAUUAGAGUGUUUAAAGCAGGCUAACGCUUGAAUACAUUAGCAUGGAAUAAUGAAAUAGGACGUUCGAUCUUAUUUUGUUGGUUUCUAAGAUUGACGUAAUGAUUAAUAGGGAUAGUUGGGGGCAUUAGUAUUCAAUUGUCAGAGGUGAAAUUCUUGGAUUUAUUGAAGACUAACUACUGCGAAAGCAUUUGCCAAGGAUGUUUUCAUUAAUCAAGAACGAAAGUUAGGGGAUCGAAGACGAUCAGAUACCGUCGUAGUCUUAACCAUAAACUAUGCCGACUAGGGAUCGGAUGAUGUUAAUUUUUUAAUGACUCAUUCGGC
rnacentral:sRNA from 1 species